GACGAACGCUGGCGGCGUGCUUAACACAUGCAAGUCGAACGAUGAUGCUGGAGCUUGCUCCAGUUGAUUAGUGGCGAACGGGUGAGUAACACGUGAGCAAUCUGCCCUUGACUCUGGGAUAACUGCGGGAAACUGUAGCUAAUACCGGAUACUUUCACCGGAAGGCAUCUUCUGGUGACGAAAGAAUUUCGGUCAGGGAUGAGCUCGCGGCCUAUCAGCUUGUUGGUGAGGUAACGGCUCACCAAGGCGACGACGGGUAGCCGGCCUGAGAGGAGGACCGGCCACACUGGGACUGAGACACGGCCCAGACUCCUACGGGAGGCAGCAGUGGGGAAUAUUGCACAAUGGGCGCAAGCCUGAUGCAGCAACGCCGCGGGAGGGAUGAAGGCCUUCGGGUUGUAAACCUCUUUUAGCAGGGAAGAAGCGAAAGUGACGGUACCUGCAGAAAAAGCACCGGCUAACUACGUGCCAGCCGCCGCGGUAA
rnacentral:rRNA from 1 species